GCAAGUCGAGGGGCAGCAUUGGUACUUGUACCAGAUGGCGACCGGCGCACGGGUGCGUAACGCGUAUGCAACCUACCUUAUACAGGGGGAUAGGCUCGGGAAACUGAGAUUAAUACCCCAUAUUUCAUUUAAGAUACCUAUCUAUAAUGAAAACUACGGUGGUAUAAGAUGGGCAUGCGUCUGAUUAGUUAGUUGGUGAGGUAAUGGCUCACCAAGACUACGAUUAGUAGGGGUUCUGAGAGGAUUAUC
rnacentral:rRNA from 1 species